rnacentral:tRNA from 2 species
CGGGGUGUGGUGUAAGGGAUACAUGGCCGGUUUGGAACCGGGCGUUCGCAGUUCGACUCUGUGCUCCCCGAC